AGCCUGUCUGAGGAAAGACAAGGCACCGUUUUCCCAGCUGAGGAGUUUGGGGACGCCCUCUAAAGAGCUGCUUCCCCAAAGCUGGGUAGUGAGGUGACUCCAGCGGCUGUCCACCACCUUGACCUCUUGCCUUAAUGGACAAAUGAAGGGAGCACCGGUUUGAGCAACUGGCUAAAAUAAUUAUCUUCCCCUCUCCCGUGACUCUCAUCCCUGAAACUCCUUUCUGAACCCCAAGACUUCCCGCCUUCCUUCUAGCCUUGGCCCACCUCUUCUCCCCCUCAUGCCACCCCAUCUCCCCAGACACAUUCAUACGGGGGUCUGCUGGCCGGCGUUUUCUCCCUGCGAGGCCCUCUUCACUCUUCCUGCACCCUGCGCCCCAGAAACGCGCACGGGCCAUCGUCGAGCCCCCUCCCCCCUUCUCUGGCCGCUGUGGAAGCCUCUGGCGCUUCUCGAGCGGAGGUCACUUUGCUGAGGAGCUGGGAGCCUGGGGAAUGCAAAUGAGGCAAACCCAGAGAGGAGAGAAGAGAAGGAGAAGAGACAGGAGGGAGGGCGCUGCAUGUGUGAUGGAUGGAUGCCAGACCAUGACCAGCUGGCCCGUAACAAUGGCACCGAUGCUCCCACUACCACUCGCCAUUUACAUGUGUAUGAAGACAAAGGCAGCUUCUUCCCAGGCACAGUUAUGAAGAGGGUUGAGGGAAGAGGAAGAAGACAAUCCAUUUCUUUAGCAUAGGGUGGAUGUAUGGGGGGGCUGUGAAUCAUAUAGAUGGAUUCCUCCCUAGUCCGGAAGGAUUACGAAUGUAUUGGAAAAGGAGUUGCCCUCUGGGUUUGGCAUCACUUAAACGCUCAGUGGAUAGAGAACUGGAGACUUAGGAAGUCUUGGGUUCAAAUGUGGCCGCAGACACUUCCUAGCUGUGGGACCUUGGCCAAGUCACUUUGCCCCCACCCCCACCCCAUUGCCUAGCCCUUACCAGCUUCUGCCUCGGAACCAAUACACAGUGCUGAUUCCCAAACUUGGAAGGGAAGGGUUUAAACAAACAAAACACUCCAGCCAGAUGUAUCUUGGGAAGGGUGGUGAGCCCUCUCACCUUGAUUAAAUACCUCAUCCU
rnacentral:lncRNA from 1 species